UACGUAGGGAGCGAGCGUUAUCCGGAAUUAUUGGGUGUAAAGGGUGCGUAGACGGGAAAGCAAGUUAGUUGUGAAAUCCCUCGGCUUAACUGAGGAACUGCAACUAAAACUACUUUUCUUGAGUGCAGGAGAGGUAAGUGGAAUUCCUAGUGUAGCGGUGAAAUGCGUAGAUAUUAGGAGGAACACCAGUGGCGAAGGCGACUUACUGGACUGUAACUGACGUUGAGGCACGAAAGUGUGGGGAGCAAACAGG
rnacentral:rRNA from 1 species